CCAAGGCUGAGGAGGGAGCUGGGUCUCGAGACCCUGCUCCACCCUGCUGGCUCUCGCUCGGCCCCAUUACCUGGCAAGCCCCGGCAUCCUCGACCCACGUCCGUGGCGCUGCCUGGAUAGGAACGCGCCUGAAGACCGCGCAGGACACUACCACUGGGCAUCCUGGGUUUGAUGCAGACAUCCUGCACUACAUUCCAGAUCUGAUGAGGCAUGGCUGCCCCAGGAUUACUGGGCUCGGACCCGAGCAGUGGUAGGAAGGAUCCUAUAUAAGUCAUGUGAGACAUAGAAUGUUCAGAUCAACUGAAGCUGAAACAAGCCUUUGGCAUCAUAUAUAACCCAGAAAGGGACACAGCUGAUCCCAGAGGACUCAAGGCUAUGGGUGAUGUUGAAGGUGUGGAAGAAUCAAGUUGGAAAGACCAGCAGGAGACAGACAGAGUAAGGUUCCUUGAAUGCUUGGUUUAUGUGCCUGGCUGAAGGAGACACCCAUGGCCUUGCAGAGGGAGCAUUCUGGUGGGAAAGCAGACACAACCCACCCUAGGCCCGUGGUUUCCCUGCAAGAAGCCCAGUGGCUUUCUGGAGGACACUUUUCCUGGAGGAAGUGACUCAAGAGCAGCAUAAGCCAAGCUCUAUGGAAUGUUGGGUGAGCUGUUUGAGGAACUCCAAGGCCUGUCCCACAGUCUUCCAGCCUCCCACUCUCCGGCCCUCAGCGUG
rnacentral:lncRNA from 1 species